ACCAGACUCCUACGGGAGGCAGCAGUGAGGAGUAUUGGUCAAUGGGCUUACGCCUGAACCAGCCAAGUCGCGUGAGGGAAGACUGCCCUAUGGGUUGUAAACCUCUUUUGCCGGGGAGCAAGCGUGCGUUCGUGAACGCGCGUCGAGAGUACCCGGAGAAAAAGCAUCGGCUAACUCCGUGCCAGCAGCCGCGGUAAUACGGAGGAUGCGAGCGUUAUCCGGAUUUAUUGGGUUUAAAGGGUGCGUAGGCGGGCUUUUAAGUCAGCGGUAAAAAUUCGGGGCUCAACCCCGUCCGGCCGUUGAAACUGGGGGCCUUGAGUGGGCGAGAAGAAGGCGGAAUGCGUGGUGUAGCGGUGAAAUGCAUAGAUAUCACGCAGAACUCCGAUUGCGAAGGCAGCAUGCCGGCUCCACACUGACGCUGAGGCACGAAAGCGUGGGUAUCGAACAGGAUUAGAUACCCGGGUAC
rnacentral:rRNA from 1 species